CCGCAUUCCCCUCCCCUUCUGGUCUCCCUUCAUUUUGCUUUCCGCUCCACAGCCGACCAGCACCCCUCUUGCUGUGCUCGCACUCUCUCCCUUCCACCAUCGAAGUCCUGUCUCCAAAGUCUCCCUCAAAAGAUUCAACCUGAAGGUUAACUGUAGGAGGCAGAUCCUGGGAUUCUUCAUCAGGAGUAGCACCGUUGAAUCCCGGAUGCGCCACGCAUGGUUGUGGCCAAAGAUUAGAAGAGCCUUCUUGAACAUCUUGUUCAGGCUGCUUGCUGCAAGGGUUCAGGACGAUUUGCGAGCCAAGAGCGAUGCGUCUAACAUUACUGAAUGUGCAUUGCUUAUUCAGGUUAUUUACGUUGAGUCGUCGCGGAUUGCACAUUCACUGCGCCCCGCGAUGAAACUCCUCGUGUGAAGGCAUAUGACUGUGAAAUAAUGUGUAAGAUGAUAUUGGCAGACAAGGCCAAACUCCUCGUGUGAAGGCAUACCACUGUGAAAUAAUUGCGUAUAGAUGAUAUUGGCAGACAAGGCCAUUAGUUCUGGGUAUACUGAUAAUUCUCAAUGGGGAUGCAGCCAGGUACGAAGCUUGCAUUGACCACAAUUGUACAGUUGGUUGCGUCAUGUUUUAUUUUGCCAUGCUAUUAUCAGCAGUGUAGUAAUGCAAACACAUGCAUGUUUAAUUACACGCGUCCCAGGAAAUUGAACACACCUCAAACUGCCAGGAUGACCACUUCGUCAACAGAUGGUCAUAACAUUGACGGCGGUCAUUCCCCUUCACACCAUCCCAGUGACCCCGAUGCCAGCGACUUAAUUCAGACACUUAACACCUUGUCAAAUAGACUCUGUGAAUUGCUUCAUCAGCAUUGUGGGAACAAGGUAUACCUCCCACCCUACUUUCUGCUAUUGGCAUCCCCAGCCAGGGGCGGAUCCAAUGGAGCCCCUCCCCAAGAAUUUUCAACCAUGAAUGAAGAGGAGGAAAAAGAAAAGGAGGAAGAAGAAAAAGUGAGGAGGGAAGAAGAAGAAGGGAAAAUUAGCCCCCCUAGAUUGAGAUUCUAGAUCCGCCUCCCCAACUGAUUGUUUAAUAUCUUGUCACUUCCAGAUUUUGUGUUAUUUUUGCUAGCUUUCUCCCCACUCCCCAGCAAGUAUCUGCGCUUAGGUGAUACACUGCUGAAAAUACAAGGGCUGUUAACCAGCUCAAGAUCUCAUUGAUGAUCAAAUUCUUCUUGCACAGAAACUUGUUGCUGCAGCAGCCUACAACUACCAAGAAAGUGCUUUAGACAACCGCCAGAUGCACAACAGAACCCACACUGUCAGACAACAGAACCCACAUUGUCCUUUGCUAAUAUAUAAUUUUUGUUAGAAUUGGAUCCUUGGAUUAUUUUUUGUUGGUUUCCAUCUUACCUCUACAAAUUAACUCGAUUCAAGAACAACUCCGACUUAUUGGCACUCACUACGCUCGCAUGUUUCAUGAUAUCUGCCUUCUUUGGGAGAUAAAGACGGUACUUAUCAAAAUAUACCACCAAUGGCUUGGUUGUUUCUUUCUGUACUGUAAGAUUCCUCUAUGUAACUGAAUUAAUUGGGUGUGGUUGUAUCUUUCUGAAUUCAGGCUGAGCAUGGACUGAACCAGGCAGAGUUUAUGUACCAACUUCUAUCCAUGGUUGGAGAUGUAGGGGACAUUCUUGAGUUGCUGAUUAACCUCUUGGAAUUUUGGGCCGCCUGUGGUUAUGCGACAUCAACAAAGCGUCAUCUUUUGCGUUCUAGUUGAGCAUUUGGUAGUGUGCUGGUACGGUUGCGGAUUUGCUUAAAGAUACCGUUGUAUAUUUUUAUUUGGUCAACAUGGGCUACCUCGGGUCAUCUCUAGUAAGACAAUGUAUUUGGUUAUCUAUUGCAGGGCAGAACCGGGCAAAUCCGUGUCAUCUCUAGUAAAUACAAUUUAUUUGGGGGUGUACCCCGUAAUAAUUUAACUACUGUAUCUUGUUUGAACACAA